rnacentral:rRNA from 1 species
UGGGGAAUUUUCCGCAAUGGGCGAAAGCCUGACGGAGCAAUACCGCGUGAGGGAGGAAGGCUUUUGGGUUGUAAACCUCUUUUAUUAAGGAAGAAGCAAGUGACGGUACUUAAUGAAUCAGCAUCGGCUAACUCCGUUGCCAGCAGCCGCGGUAAUACGGAGGAUGCAAGCGUUAUCCGGAAUUAUUGGGCGUAAAGCGUCCGCAGGUGGUUUUUCAAGUCCGCUGUCAAUGACCGGAGCUUAACUCCGGAGAGGCAGUAGAAACUGAGGAACUAGAGACCGGUAGGGGUAGAGGGAAUUCCCAGUGUAGCGGUGAAAUGCGUAGAGAUUGGGAAGAACACCAGUGGCGAAAGCGCUCUACUGGGCCGGUACUGACACUCACAGGACGAAAGCGAGGGGAGCGAAAGGGAUUAGAUACCCCUGUAGUCC